rnacentral:rRNA from 1 species
AACGAACGCUGGCGGCGCGCCUAAUACAUGCAAGUCGAGCGAGAAGACGUAGCAAUACGUUUGUAAAGCGGCGAACGGGUGAGGAAUACAUGGGUAACCUACCCUCGAGUGGGGAAUAACUAGCCGAAAGGUUAGCUAAUACCGCGUACGCUCCUUGGACUUCGGUUCAGGGAGGAAAGCGAUACCGUGGGUAUCGCGCUCUUGGAUGGGCUCAUGUCCUAUCAGCUUGUUGGNGAGGUAACGGCUCACCAAGGCUUCGACGGGUAGCUGGUCUGAGAGGACGAUCAGCCACACUGGCACUGCGACACGGGCCAGACUCCUACGGGAGGCAGCAGUAAGGAAUAUUGCGCAAUGGGCGAAAGCCUGACGCAGCGACGCCGCGGUGGGGGA